ensembl:lncRNA
UCCUCCUCAGACUGCAGCAGAGUGUCCCUUCAGGCAGUGGUUCACUGCAGACCUGUCUGACUUCUUGCAACUGCAGUUAGUUUAGACUAAGAAUUGGAAUAUCUUCAUCAGUACAAUUCACUUGGGUAGUUGCUCUCCUCAACUGUGAUGAGAGUCCACAUAAGUCAGACUGUACAGACAGACUGGAAUUGUAGGAUGGAAUAUUACCUUACCUUCUGACAAUGGAUCACUGUCCAGAAGAGCUACUAGAACAAAACCUUAUGUCACAGGCUUCUUUUCAUCUGUUUUAAGGUAAAACAAGAUCCCAAGAACUUGGCCAACUGAUGUCUGAAGAGGACUUAAAUGCCAGUUUGCAGAUCCAAAACACCCAGUGACUUCACUGUGCCCUCGUGUAAAUGUUGAUAAGUGAGGUGUAACUAUUUACAAACUGGAAAAUUGAGAAACCGGUCUGAAGAGUCCUAUAGGCAAUAGGGAAAUGGCCUUCUGGCUUAUGAAAUUAAUGAACAAGCAGAAUGAUUUGUGAAAAACAACUGUUUUAUAGGACCACCACCUGCAGUAUGGGCUGACUCCCACAAUGUGGAAGAAAUCCAGAACAUCAUUUCAGAUUAAUUUCUUGACAUCUCAACUUUGUCCUGCACCCCAUCCACCAACACAGAACAUACUCAAGAGUAACAAAGAUAUUUCUGGUGACACACUGCAGCCAUGGGAAAUUGGAAUGCAAGUCAUGCCAUAUCUACUGACAGCUCAUAAAGUACUCCACAGCAGUGCAGAAGAUGUAUUUUCUAUGCCUGAAGAUCAUGUUAGCUUGGUCCGGGUUUUGCUAAAUAGUACUGAACUUUUGGCUGUUUAUUCCCAACUCUGUGAUGUCAGCUGGCCUCCCUGGAAGCCAGACUCCAAUUGCGGCAACCAUUCUGUACACGCACAUUGCAUGGAAAGAGUUACCUAGUAAUAAAAAAC